AUUGAACGCUGGCGGCAUGCCUAACACAUGCAAGUCGAACGGUAACGACGGGAGCUUGCUCCCGGGCGACGAGUGGCGGACGGGUGAGUAAUACUUAGGAAUCUGCCCAGUAGUGGGGGACAACAUUCGGAAACGGAUGCUAAUACCGCAUACGCCCUAUGGGGGAAAGCGGGGGAUCUUCGGACCUCGCGCUAUUGGAUGAGCCUAAGUCGGAUUAGCUUGUUGGUGAGGUAAUGGCUCACCAAGGCGACGAUCCGUAGCUGGUCUGAGAGGACGAUCAGCCACACUGGGACUGAGACACGGCCCAGACUCCUACGGGAGGCAGCAGUGGGGAAUAUUGGACAAUGGGCGCAAGCCUGAUCCAGCAAUGCCGCGUGUGUGAAGAAGGCCUGCGGGUUGUAAAGCACUUUCAGUAGAGAAGAAAAGCCUAGGGUUAAUACCCCUGAGUCUUGACGUAACCUACAGAAGAAGCACCGGCUAACUCCGUG
rnacentral:rRNA from 1 species